rnacentral:lncRNA from 1 species
GGAGGAAUGGGAAGCAGCUGUCCCAGUGGCCUCCACUCUGUGGUGGGGAAGGGGAGCCUCUGCUAUGGCUUUUGAGGCUCACUCCUGGGGGCUGCAUCCUUCCCCAGUGACUGGAGGAGAAUGAGACUGCAGGGACUGAGUGGGCAGUGUCCAUCCAAGAAGAAUUAACUUGAGCCCGCAUUUGUGCCUGAUGCCAUCUGGAGCAGGGCCACUCUUUCUGAAUGGUCUGAGGAGGGUGCUUAGAUAUCAAGGGGAUUUUUGAAACCAAGCCCCAUGAGCAACAAGUGGAAGACCUCAGGCUGUCUGGCCUGGAGAGGACUUGGUGGCAACCAGAAGCCUGGACCCAGUGACAGGCAGGUGGGCUGAUCAGGAGAGAUGCACAUCUGGCCUUCACCCACUUCCAGGUGUUGCAGUUUGCAAGUGGUGCCCCUCAGGUUUGGAGAGCCCCAGAUUGGAGGCAGGCAGGCUGUCCCACCCUGCCCCCACCUGCAUCUCAAGAAUAAAGCAAGCUGCCUUUUUACUUGGUUGAAUCA